GAUGAAGAACGUAGCGAAAUGCGAUACGUAGUGUGAAUUGCAGAAUUCAGUGAAUCAUCGAAUCUUUGAACGCACAUUGCGCCCCUUGGUAUUCCGAGGGGCAUGCCUGUUCGAGCGUCAUUAUAACCCCUCAAGCUCAGCUUGGUGUUGGGGCCUGCUGCACUGGCAGCCCUUAAAAUCAGUGGCGGCGCCAUCUGGCUCUAAGCGUAGUAAUUCUUCUCGCUAUGGAGUCCUGGUGGAUGCUUGCCAUCAACCCCCAAUUUUUCUAUGGUUGACCUCGGAUCAGGUAGGGAUACCCGCUGAACUUAAGCAUAUCAAUAAGCGGAGGA
rnacentral:misc_RNA from 1 species